UAAUACGUAGGGGGCAAGCGUUGUCCGGAAUUAUUGGGCGUAAAGCGCGCGCAGGCGGUUUUUUAAGUCCGAUGUAUAAGCCUGGGGCUCAACCCCGGGAGGCAUGGGAAACUGGGAGGCUUGAGUGCAGAAGAGGAGAGUGGAAUUCCACGUGUAGCGGUGAAAUGCGUAGAUAUGUGGAGGAACACCAGUGGCGAAGGCGACUCUCUGGUCUGUAACUGACGCUGAGGCGCGAAAGCGUGGGGAGCAAACAGGAUUAGAUACCCUGGUAGUCCACGCUGUAAACGAUGAAUGCUAGGUGUCAGGGGUUUCAAUACCCUGGGUGCCGAAGUUAACACAUUAAGCAUUCCGCCUGGGGAGUACGGUCGCAAGACUG
rnacentral:rRNA from 1 species